rnacentral:lncRNA from 1 species
CCACUUCUUCCUGCUCGUGUACCGCCCAUAGUCGAGUUCAGCACGACCCCCAGCAGGCCCAUGAGAGGCCGCGGGAGAAGAGCCGGAAGAGACGACGGCCCUUCGGAAGAGGAAGAGGAGGAGGAUUUCUUCCUCCGCACUCUCAACUUCGGCGACGACGGCGGGAACGAGAGAGCAAGAGAGAAGAACCUGGCCGACCCCCAGCAAGGCCCUCCGAGGCCCGCUAGGAGGCCACCGAGGGGCGAGCGAAGGUCGGACACGCCGCGNGGAGAAAAGAAGAAGAGGGAAGCUUGCAGAAGGAGAGGAAAGCUUAUAUGCAGGCAACGGCCGCUUGGAAGAUUUUCUUCUCGAUGCAGGCGAGGGCUGCUUGGAGACGCCUCUCCCACUCGCCUAAAGAUUGGAACUUCCAGAGCCCCUGGAUCUCGUCUCUGCUUCCCCGCCCACUUCUUCCUGCUCGCGUACCGCCCAUAGUCGAGUUCAGCACGACCCCCAGCAGGCCCAUGAGAGGCCGCGGGAGAAGAGCCGGAAGAGACGACGGCCCUUCGGAAGAGGAAGAGGAAGAGAAAGAGGAAGAGGAGGAGGAUUUCUUCCUCCGCACUCUCAACUUCGGCGACGACGGCGGGAACGAGAGAGCAAGAGAGAAGAACCUGGCCGACCCCCAGCAAGGCCCUCCGAGGCCCGCUAGGAGGCCACCGAGGGGCGAGCGAAGGUCGGACACGCCGCGCGAUGUCGAGGCAGAUGAUUUCUUUCCCCAUUUCCAGGAUGGAAACGAGAUACUGCUAGGCGGCGGCCGGAG